rnacentral:tRNA from 1 species
GAAAUAUGACUGACCAAAUAAUAGCCGCUAACUAAUUAUUUUAACGGUUCAAUUCCGUUUAUAUUUCU